rnacentral:misc_RNA from 1 species
AACGCAUCUUGCGCUCCUUGGUAUUCCGAGGAGCAUGCCUGUUUGAGUGUCAUUAAAUUCUCAACUCUCUUAUACUGUUUGGUAAAAGAGAGCUUGGACUGUGGAGGCUUGCUGGCCACUCGUUUGAGGUCAGCUCCUCUGAAAUGCAUUAGCGGAACCGUUUGCGAUCUGCCACAAGUGUGAUAAAUUAUCUGCACUGGCGAGGGGAUUGCUCUCAGUAAUGUUCAGCUUCUAAUCGUCUCUACUUUGUGAGACUACUUUUGAAUGCUUGACCUCAAAUCAGGUAGGACUACCCGCUGAACUUAA